AUUUCAAAAAAUCAUUGAUUGAGAAUGAUUAAGGAUCGGCCAUUACUGUAGAGAAUUGAAUUGGAUUUCAUCUCAGCAGUUUAUUUAUUUGCCAUUUUUUUCUCUCAAAUUCAAAUCUCUAUUGCGAUUUACCCUGUAUUUGAAUUCUUUGAAGAAUAAAUUAAAGCAGCCCAGAACGAGAAGGAUGAGCAGUCGAUUGGAUAAUCCUCUUCAAUACGAUGGAGCACAAUUGCUCCGAUUGGUCCGAUUUGUUGCUCUGAUUGAUCUAAUUCGGUCAAGGCCAGCACGAUAAUUAGUUGAGGCUCUUCAAUACAGCAGUCGAUUGGUGGAGGCUCUUCAAUACGAUGGAGCACGAUUGCUCCGAUUCGUUCAAGGCAAGCAUUACGAGCAGUCGAACUACAACAGACUCGUUUGGGGACAUGUGCAGGACUUAUCUUCUUUCAGAUAAAUCUACAGGUUGGUUUUCUUGUGUCUGAUUAUGAAUAGUCUAUGGUUUGUUCAAUUUUAAAUUUAAUUAUUUGUUUUUAUGUAGAAAAUAUGUAUGUUUUGAAAUGUACCGUAAUUGAAAUGAGCACAUAAAUUCUCAUAUGGGAAUUUAGAUUAAUUUUGGGAUAUAUAUAUAUAUCAUAUCUAUCCAAUAAAAAAAAGAGUGGAAAAAGAAAUUGAACUAUUUAGCGGGUACUCCCGAUGAAUCAAGAGAUGGUGUUGAUCGAAGUGAUGUGAAGCCUUUACAAAUUAUUCAGCCAAAAGGUCAAAGCUUUUGUGUCAAUGGAUACUUUAUUGAAUGGCAAAAGGUAAUUAUUUAUUUAUUUGGUAUUUGUAAGUUUAAGUUAUAAGUGUUCUUUUUGUUUAUGAAAUUUCUAUUGUCCAAUUCAAUCUUAUUAUUAUUCUAUAUUUAUCUUUUUAAUUUUUUAAUUUACGUGAUAUUAUUUAUAUUUAUUCUUCUAAAAUAAUUUUGAAUACAGGAACUUUCCCAUGAACAAUUUGUCUGACCCAUGGCCCCUAGAAAUAGAGAUUUUAAACAAAUUAGAAGUAUCGUAUGUAGUACGGAUUGUAUAUCAUUCCAUUUAUCUAUUCCACUGAGAUAAAUCCUAAUUUCUUUCUUUAUAUUGCUUACUUGACAGUGGUAUUACUAAUUGUGGGGUUAGUAAAGAGAUUCCUUCUACCUUUGAAAAUCUCUAAAAUUUACAAGAAUUGUAUACUGUAAAUAAUCAGGCGGUUGAAAGAUGUAUUUACUGCAAGCUCUUCUCUUUGAUUUAUCAUUAAUAUGAAGUCUCUUUCAAUCUUAAGUGUAACAUGUUUUAAUCAUAAUCAUAAGUACAGUUCAUAAGUACUUCUAAUAUUACUAAUUUUUUAGUAUUAUUAAUAACAAUGUGUACAUCAUAAGUUUAUAUAUACAAUUAUGACAUUCUUAACAAGUCUAUUUUUAUAAAACAAAUAAUAAAAAUAAUUUACAAUUAGUUACCGAAUUUUUUUAAAAAAAUCACUAAAACUUAAAUAAAGCUAAUAUUUACGUGGCUCGCCACGUAACUUUCGUAAUUGCAGUAAUGAAGCAGUGUUAGUAUACAUUGUGGCUUUAUAAUGAGGAGAUGAGAUUUCAGUUAGCAUUGUUAAAAUUCAUGACUUCUGGUAGGCUGACAGUGGUAGCUUCUUAGGAAUACUUGUACACAUUAAUUUUAAUUUUGCUCUGUUUUAGACUCCAUAUCUAAGAUUUCUCCUUGGUAGUGAGAAUGUUCAUUCAAGUGUUAGUUAUUCUUAAUUUUGUAAUAUUUGUAAUAUAUAUCUAAGAUUUCUUCUUGGUAGUGAUAAUGUUCCUUCAAGUGUUAGUUAUUCUUAAUUUUGUAAUAUUUGUUUUUCCAGGUCAAAGAUGUUCUUGCUGCUAUUAUUUUAAGAGCUGGAACAAAUGCAACAUAUAUUAUAACCUUAUUAUUAUUGUUUCCAAUAUGUUUUUACUAACAUUUGUAGUUUAAUUUAAACUCCAUUAUACUGGACAUAAAAGUUUAAUUUAAAUUUAUUAUUCAAAUC